UGGGAGUUCGUCUAAUGGUAGGACAACAGGUUCUGGACCUGUUUAUUGGGGUUCGAAUCCCUGACUCCCAG
rnacentral:tRNA from 1 species